rnacentral:rRNA from 1 species
GGUAUAGUUCUUCGGAAUUAGAGACCGGCGCACGGGUGCGUAACGCGUAUGCAAUCUACCUUUUACAGAGGGAUAGCCCAGAGAAAUUUGGAUUAAUACCUCAUAGUAUGGUACAAUCGCAUGAUUGAACUAUUAAAGUCACAACGGUAAAAGAUGAGCAUGCGUCCCAUUAGCUAGUUGGUAAGGUAACGGCUUACCAAGGCUACGAUGGGUAGGGGUCCUGAGAGGGAGAUCCCCCACACUGGUACUGAGACACGGACCAGACUCCUACGGGAGGCAGCAGUGAGGAAUAUUGGACAAUGGGCGCAAGCCUGAUCCAGCCAUGCCGCGUGCAGGAUGACGGUCCUAUGGAUUGUAAACUGCUUUUGCACAGGAAGAAACAACGCUACGUGUAGCGUCUUGACGGUACUGUGAGAAUAAGGAUCGGCUAACUCCGUGCCAGCAGCCGCGGUAAUACGGAGGAUCCAAGCGUUAUCCGGAAUCAUUGGGUUUAAAGGGUCCGUAGGCGGUUUAGUAAGUCAGUGGUGAAAGCCCAUCGCUCAACGGUGGAACGGCCAUUGAUACUGCUAGACUUGAAUUAUUAGGAAGUAACUAGAAUAUGUAGUGUAGCGGUGAAAUGCUUAGAGAUUACAUGGAAUACCAAUUGCGAAGGCAGGUUACUACUAAUGGAUUGACGCUGAUGGACGAAAGCGUGGGUAGC